rnacentral:rRNA from 1 species
ACGAACGCUGGCGGCGUGCUUCACACAUGCAAGUCGAACGCUGAAGCUCAGCUUUUGUUGGGUGGAUGAGUGGCGAACGGGUGAGUAACACGUGAGUAACCUGCCCCCUUCUUUGGGAUAACGCCCGGAAACGGGUGCUAAUACUGGAUAUUCACUGGUCUUCGCAUGGGGGUUGGUGGAAAGGGUUUUUCUGGUGGGGGAUGGGCUCGCGGCCUAUCAGCUUGUUGGUGGGGUGAUGGCCUACCAAGGCUUUGACGGGUAGCCGGCCUGAGAGGGUGACCGGUCACAUUGGGACUGAGAUACGGCCCAGACUCCUACGGGAGGCAGCAGUGGGGAAUAUUGCACAAUGGGCGCAAGCCUGAUGCAGCGACGCCGCGUGAGGGAUGGAGGCCUUCGGGUUGUGAACCUCUUUCGCUCAUGGUCAAGCCGCAACAAUGGUUGUGGUGAGGGUAGUGGGUAAAGAAGCGCCGGCUAACUACGUG